rnacentral:tRNA from 1 species
GGCCGGGUGGCGGAAUCGGCAGACGCGCGAGCUUCAGGGGCUCGUGCCCGACUCGGGCGUGGGAGUUCAAGUCUCCCCUCGGUCA